CCUGCAGCCUGGGCAGUGCUGAGGAAGCUCCAGCAUCCACACUGAAGGAUUCUGUGAGCAGCAGGAUGGGGAGGAUGGAUACUGCUGAAAGCAGAAGCGGUUCCUUUUUGCCUGUCUCUGGAAAGACAGGGCUUUGGGAAAGCUUUCCCCAGCAUGUUCAUAAGUGCAGGCUUCUUGUCCUUUCGCUGAAGGCUUCCUUCCAGCCCGUGUGUAACCAUCCAUGGCACAGAAGAUCAGAGAGUGCAGCCAGAAUCGCCCCAGUGUCCAGCACACAUCUGUAACCUCUGGAAGGGACAAAUGCACGCAACUUGCCAGCUGGACUGUUCCAUCGAAAUGGCCAAAUCCCAACUUGCUUUUUUUGUUGGCUCUCCUGACUGGAUGAUGAAGCAAAGCCUUCCCUGCAAAUACCCCUGCUGCAUCAGCUGUUUACCUUGCUCAUAAACAGAUCACUGCUACAAAAUUCUCUUCCAAAGCUGUCCAGCACACAGCAAGACAGCCUCGGGACAGAGGAGAGGAGCAGGGAGCAAUCUGCUGGUGUUUCAGUUCCUGUGGCUGAGGACAGGGCCAGCUGGCUGUUCCAAGUGUCCAGGCUGUGGAGCAGCUGGAAUGGAGGUGGUCUGGCCAUGCUGAGACCCACACAUGAGACUAGAUGGAGUUGGACAGUGAGACAGCCCCACAUCCCUGUCCAGCUGCUGGGAUGGUCUCCACUGGAGAUGGUCUCUGGCUCUGAUGGCAGAAGGGCAUUUCUGAGGUCCAGCAUUGGCAAAGGACUUCAAAUCCCACCACAGUGGAAGCCAUCCCAUCCUCAUGUGCAUAUGCAAGCGUCACACAGCGUGCUCUUGGCAGACAGCCCCUGCAGUGCCCAACACAUUUCCUAGCAUGGAAAUCCUACCCUGUACCUUCCCACCAGAUCACACA